AUUGAACGCUGGCGGCAUGCCUUACACAUGCAAGUCGAACGGCAGCACGGGGGCAACCCUGGUGGCGAGUGGCGAACGGGUGAGUAACAUAUCGGAACAUACCCUAGAGUGGGGAUAACGUAGCGAAAGUUACGCUAAUACCGCAUACGAUCUAAGGAUGAAAGUGGGGGGAUCUUCGGACCUCAUGCUCAUGGAGUGGCCGAUAUCUGAUUAGCUAGUUGGUGAGGUAAAGGCUCACCAAGGCGACGAUCAGUAGCUGGUUUGAGAGAACGACCAGCCACACUGGAACUGAGACACGGUCCAGACUCCUACGGAGGCAGCAGUGGGGAAUUUUGGGACAAUUGGGGGGCAACCCUGAUCCAGCAAUGCCGCGUGAGUGAAGAAGGCC
rnacentral:rRNA from 1 species